UGUUACGAUGUUACUGUUACUGUUACUGUUAUUGCUUAAUACUUGUUCUUCCUUCUUAAAGCACUUAAUCGACUUGAAUUCAAUAUUGUGAGGUAUUAAUCAAUCAAACAUCUUUGUUUCUAUUUACAUGCGACCUUUACCGAUAGAUAAUCAACUACGUAUAAGGUGCCCCAACAAUACAUAAUAACACUGUUAACGCAUAUAACAAUAUGUAAAUAUUUCAACAUUUUCAGGCACAUUUUAUCAUUAAACCGAGGCCAGAGCUACUUA